CUGGCGAGGUGCUGCGGGCGGCAGGACCCUGUCCCGGUUCCGCAAGCAGCUGCUUCGGCCGUGAGGGCCCGCGGCUCAACAGCGGUCGGAGGCCCUCCAGGAGCCUGCUCCCUGAGCGCUGCCCCAAGCAUUUUGCUUAAGAGCAGCCGGUGCCAGGCGGGACGGACGUUUUGGCUGGGAAAUCUGUUGCAGAAGAGAGGUACUGUGAGUGGGCUGCCAAGUGCAAAGAAGAAAUUACUUCCUGAACACUUUUAAGUGUUCAUUUCACAGUAUUUCAGCUCUUCUGAGAAUGUCAACCCUUUUUUGAGAUCUGCGAAGACAAUAACCGUAUUUGCCAUAGAUGUCAGAAGGUGGCAGAAGAGAAGGGACGUUGAGGUAGGUUCUGUAUAAAAAAUGAUGAGAAAAUUGCAGCUUUGGAAAAGGUCUUUGAUUGGCAUCUACAUCUUGACCUGCUUCAACCAGUCCAGCCAAGGAAUCCUUCUGCUCGGGGUGAAACAGAAGGGUCUAUAAUGAUUAUUACAGCAGGUUUCUUCAUGCGCAUCUGGAUUUGAGCUGGACCUACUAUUUUUCUCUCUGAAAAUGAAAAAUUGAGUACAGCAGCCGACUUUCUCAGUCUUGAGGAUUUUUGUAAGUAAUAGCCAUACUUCUUUUGUGUGUAGUAAGGCAUGUUUUUCUCUACAGUGGAAGAAAGCACACAAAUUAAAGUUAGGCAAUUGCAGGAUAAAAGCAUGGAUCUUAGCAACUGUAAAACCUUACUUGUUGUCAUGUAUCUUCCAGGAGUUAAUCAGAACCUCUCUUGGAGUUCAUACCGACAUUCAGAUUUCCUGACAGAAAAGGUGUAGGGGUUGCAUGCAUGGUUGUGGGUAUUUUCCUGUGAUUGUAGUGCACAUGCUGUUUGUUCUGAGCAGUCUCUCAGCUACAGCCUCUACUUCAAAAAAAUUAGUAUUUUGGGCCUGAGCAUGCUAAAACUCUGAUCUUUCUUUCGUGGGGAGCACAGGGAAGUAUGCACCUACACCCAUUAGUUUCAGUGGCUUGCUCUUCUGCAGGCUUGCCUCUAGAGUAAGGAUGAUGAGAACAUAUUUGUGAGAUAAGUAUGCCUCUGCUUUGUUUGAGAAGUUUUACUUUGGUGCUUGGUUGGUGCUGUGGACUGCUUGUUACUCAGACUGGAAUCAUGAUGGAGGCACUCUCAUGUGUACAUAUGUCCGGAAACCCUCAGGUACCCACAGGAUUAGGCAGCAGCUUGCUAGUGCUUUUAAAAACAUCACUUGUGACUAAGAAGUGAAUUGGAUAUCUAACCACAUUAAGAAGCCUGUGAUUUAUUUAUCAAUGAAACAAAUCUUUCACUGUGAGGAUCUUAUUUGCAUUUUUCUGUCCCUGUUAGCAGAACACCUUUUUUAAUUGCUCAUGCCUGCAUAAAAACUGUAUUAGAUUUACUCCCUUUCUUAGCUCUUUGUAUUGCCUUCUGCAAACCUACUGGGAUCAGGCAGCAGCAACCUGAGGAUAAAAGUAGCUUGAAUCAAAUUCUUAUGCAGAGGCCAAUUCCCUUAAACCACAACAGUACAAAGGUACAUGUGUCUUACGAUUCAGGACCGUAUUGCUACUUUAUUAUCAUCUUGAAGUUGACAAUCAGAGAAAGAAAGACAAAAUGUUGUACAAAAAAUGGUUAGAGUCACAGUCCAGGUAGAAUUUUAUCAGUUAGGAAGUAUAACUGUUAUUACAGUUGCCUAAUUUCAUAUGCAGUGAUGAAACUAUGGCUAGAAAACAGUUGAAGGCAAUGUUUCCUUAUUGUUGUGGUUGUUUGGGUACCCAAAAUGAGGACUUCAUGUAGGUAAAGUUCUACGGGUGCCUGCCACAGAAGGUUUCCAUUACAGCAAGUUUGAAUUUUUCUUGACAGUAAAUUGAAAAAUGAUGGCAGUGUUUGAUACUAGUAUUGCUCUGACUUUAAAUACACACUUAGCAAGUGCAGUGGGCGUACGAAGGUUAACUAUAUGAAUUGACAUUAGUCAGUGUUUUUAGUCAGUGUUUUACAAUGUUAAAGUGUUGUGUAGGAGUAUAAAAUAAUGUGUCAAUAAAGAGGGGAAAAACUUCUGACAGAAAACUGAAAUAAUUUACAUAUUCAGAGGUAAAGCAGCAGGAAUUCAAGAAAACAGAUUUUGUUUCUAGGCUGACUUUGUCACUUACAAAGGCACUAUUGUGUAAAUACUCAUUAAGUAAUUCAUUACCACAUGAAUUCUGUUCACAACACAUGACUUCAUGAGCCAUGUGAUAAGUACUAGGAAACCAGGGGUUAUGAAAUGCAUUGACAUGCUAAAGUG